GCAUCUCUCCGGGUUGAAAACUCCGGUGGUUAUAGGUGGACAUGCGUUGUAUUAGCUAGUUGGUGAGGUAACGGCUCACCAAGGCAACGAUACAUAGGGGGACUGAGAGGUUAACCCCCCACACUGGUACUGAGACACGGACCAGACUCCUACGGGAGGCAGCAGUGAGGAAUAUUGGUCAAUGGACGCAAGUCUGAACCAGCCAUGCCGCGUGCAGGAAGACGGCUCUAUGAGUUGUAAACUGCUUUUGUACGAGGGUAGACUCACCUACGAGUAGGUGACUGAAAGUAUCGUACGAAUAAGGAUCGGCUAACUCCGUGCCAGCAGCCGCGGUAAUACGGAGGAUUCAAGCGUUAUCCGGAUUUAUUGGGUUUAAAGGGUGCGUAGGCGGUUUGAUAAGUUAGAGGUGAAAUCCCGGGGCUUAACUCCGGAACUGCCUCUAAUACUGUUAGACUAGAGAGUAGUUGCGGUAGGCGGAAUGUAUGGUGUAGCGGUGAAAUGCUUAGAGAUCAUACAGAACACCGAUUGCGAAGGCAGCUUACCAAACUAUAUCUGACGUUGAGGCACGAAAGCGUGGGGAGCAAACAGGAUUAGAUACCCUGGUAGUCCACGCAGUAAACGAUGAUAACUCGUUGUCGGCGAUACACAGUCGGUG
rnacentral:rRNA from 1 species